ACAGCCUGCGCACCGACAUGCACAUCAGUGGGGUGUUUGCCACCAAGGAUGCUGUCGCAGUCUGGAACGGAAGGCAGGUGGCGAUCUUCGAGCUUUCUGGAGCCGCGAUACGGAGUGCAGGGACCUUCUUGUGUGAGACGCCCGUGUUAGCAAUGCAUGAAGAAAACGUUUACACGGUGGAGUCAAACCGAGUUCAAGUUCGAACCUGGCAGGGGACUGUCAAACAACUCCUCCUUUUCUCGGAGACUGAGGGGAAUCCCUGCUUCUUGGACAUCUGUGGGAAUUUCCUGGUUGUAGGGACAGACUUGGCUCACUUUAAAAGCUUUGAUCUUUCCCGAAGAGAGGCCAAAGCACACUGUAGCUGCAGGAGCCUGGCGGAGCUGGUCCCUGGGGUGGGGGGCAUCGCUUCUCUGCGGUGCAGCAGCAGCGGGAGCACCAUCAGCAUCCUCCCCAGCAAGGCUGACAACAGCCCUGAUUCCAAAAUCUGCUUCUACGAUGUUGAAAUGGACACAGUGACCGUCUUUGACUUCAAGACUGGACAAAUUGAUCGGAGAGAGACGCUGUCCUUUAAUGAGCAAGAGACUAAUAAGAGCCACCUCUUUGUGGAUGAGGGACUGAAAAAUUAUGUUCCCGUGAACCACUUCUGGGACCAGAGCGAGCCCCGGCUGUUUGUAUGCGAAGCCGUGCAGGAGACGCCGCGCUCCCAGCCUCAGUCUGCAAACGGGCAGCCCCAAGAUGGGCGCGCUGGCCCUGCGGCAGAUGUUUUGAUCCUGUCCUUCUUCAUUUCCGAAGAGCACGGCUUCCUGCUUCAUGAGAGCUUCCCCCGGCCUGCCGCCUCCCACAGUCUCCUGGGGAUGGAAGUGCCUUAUUACUACUUCACAAGAAAGCCCGAAGAAGCAGACAGAGAAGACGAGGUGGAGCCUGGGUGCCACCACAUCCCUCAGAUGGUGUCCAGGAGACCCCUGCGAGACUUUGUGGGGCUGGAGGACUGCGACAAGGCCACCCGGGACGCCAUGCUCCACUUCAGCUUCUUUGUCACCAUAGGAGACAUGGACGAAGCCUUCAAAUCCAUCAAGCUCAUCAAAAGUGAGGCCGUCUGGGAGAACAUGGCGCGCAUGUGCGUGAAGACCCAGCGGCUGGACGUGGCCAAGGUGUGCCUGGGGAACAUGGGCCAUGCCCGCGGGGCCCGAGCGCUGCGUGAGGCGGAGCAGGAGCCGGAGCUAGAGGCCCGCGUGGCCGUGCUGGCCACGCAGCUGGGCAUGCUGGUGAGGGGCGCCCGCCAUGGGGUGGGUGGGAAGGCACCACGCCUGCCACAGCCACGGCCCCCUGGGGAAGGAGGAGGCACGCCCACCGGCCUGAGCCUGCACUGAUGUGGGCAGAGCCGAGAGGCAUGACCCAGGAGAGCUGGGCAGACAGCGGCGGUGGAGGUGAGGCGGGUGGAGGCUAGGCGACCGCCGGCUCUCCAGGGUGUGUGCCUGUCAGGUGUGUGGGCCUGGAACAGAGCGCCCGAGAGACCCCCAGGUCAGCAGGGCUGAGCACGGGACUUCUGGGGAGGCUGUGGGAGGGGAAGCUGUGGGAGGGGGGGCUGUGGGAGGGGAGGCUGUGGGAGGGGGGCUGGGAGGGGGGCUGUGGGAGGGGGGUACCCCUUGGUGGUGCAUCUCACUCUCCAGCCGUGGGACGGGGAUGCCCCGUGGGUGUGUGGCGUUCGUUGUGCCCGCAGCGGCCCCGUGUGUCAGUGUGCUUGGCAGUGUGGGAAGGCACGGUGACCGGUGGCCUGGCGUGGAACAGUGUGUUUGAGACGUGGGUGUGCGGAGGCUGCACGACACCUGCCCAUCCUCAUUCCUCAGGAGGACGCCGAGCAGCUGUACAGGAAGUGCAAGCGCCACGACCUCCUGAACAAGUUCUACCAGGCUGCAGGCCGGUGGCAGGAGGCCCUCCAGGUAGCCGAGCACCACGAUCGCGUGCACCUGCGCAGCACCUACCACCGCUAUGCCGGGCACCUGGAGGCCAGCGCCGACUGCAGCCGGGCCCUCAGUUACUACGAGAAGUCGGACACGCACCGCUUCGAGGUGCCCAGGAUGCUGUCGGAGGACCUGCCGUCCCUGGAGCUCUACGUGAAUAAAAUGAAGGAUAAGACCCUGUGGCGGUGGUGGGCGCAGUACCUGGAGAGCCAGGGCGAGAUGGACGCCGCGCUGCACUACUACGAGCUGGCCCGGGACCACUUCUCCCUGGUCCGCAUCCACUGCUUCCAGGGCAAUGUCCAGAAGGCUGCGCAAAUAGCCAACGAGACAGGAAACCUGGCGGCCUCCUACCACCUCGCCCGCCAGUACGAGAGCCAGGAGGAGGUCGGGCAGGCGGUGCACUUCUACACCCGGGCACAGGCCUUCAAGAAUGCCAUCCGCCUGUGCAAGGUACCACGGGGCCGGGGCGGGGAGCCGGCGCUUCUCAAGGUCCCCUGAGGAGAGCUUCAAGUGGAAAAGUGGACAGAGAGAAUCGUGUCAGUGACACGUGGUCCGGCCAGUGUCUGCCACUCACUGCUCACCCCGCCUGCCUCACCCGCCCACCCCUCUGCCCACCCCUGGCCGCUUCCAUCUGACAUUGUUUGCAAAGCACUGAAUUGUCCCCAGAUGUUUCCCAGGCUCCAGGGCUCCUGAGCGGGUGGUGAGGCUGCUCACGGCCUAUGGCCUUGCAGACGGCAGACCCUUCCUAGACAGCUAUUGGGCGUUCUGCACCACACAAAUGUCCCAACCUGGGCUCUCGCUUCCAGAAGCAUCUCCUGUGUCAGGUAUUUCUUGCAGUGCUCUGUGAAAUAGAACCCAGAGCAUCGGAAAAUCCUUGUAGACAAACCCAGUAAGUCAUCGGCUCCUUAAAACCCAUCACCGCAGAGAUCGCUGAGCAGCGUGUCAAAGUGAAGGGGCGGGUUCGCACCCGGCCACAUUCCAGAAUCUCAGCGGACCUGGGGAAGCCAGUGGGAGCCGCUUCAGGGCCCUGCCUCCCUCCCUGCAGGAGAACGGCCUGGACGACCAGCUCAUGAACUUGGCCCUGCUGAGCUCCCCCGAGGACAUGAUCGAGGCGGCCCGAUACUACGAGGAGAAGGGCGUGCAGAUGGACAGGGCAGUCAUGCUGUACCACAAGGCUGGCCACUUCUCCAAGGCCCUGGAGCUGGCCUUUGCCACCCAGCAGUUUGUGGCCCUACAGCUCAUAGCAGAGGACCUGGAUGAGACGUCAGACCCUGCGCUCCUGGCCCGCUGCUCCGACUUCUUCAUCGAGCACAGUCAGUACGAGAGGGCGGUAGAGCUGCUGCUGGCUGCCAGGAAGUAUCAGGAAGCCCUGCAGCUGUGCCUGGAGCAGAACAUGAGCAUCACCGAGGAGAUGGCGGAGAAGAUGACCGUGGCCAAGGACUCCUCGGACCUGCCUGAGGAGUCGCGGCGGGAGCUGCUGGAGCAGAUAGCAGACUGCUGCAUGCGCCAGGGCAGCUACCACCUGGCCACCAAGAAGUACACGCAGGCCGGCAACAAGCUGAAGGCCAUGAGGGCGCUGCUCAAAUCCGGAGACACAGAGAAAAUCACGUUCUUCGCGAGCGUGUCCAGGCAGAAGGAAAUCUACAUCAUGGCUGCUAACUACCUGCAGUCCCUGGACUGGCGGAAGGAGCCGGAGAUCAUGAAGAACAUCAUCGGCUUCUACACCAAGGGGCGGGCCCUGGACCUCCUGGCUGGCUUUUAUGACGCUUGUGCCCAGGUGGAGAUUGAUGAAUACCAGAACUACGACAAAGCCCACGGGGCGCUGACCGAGGCCUACAAGUGCCUGGCCAAGGCCAAGGCCAAGAGCCCCCUGGACCAGGAGAGCAGGCUGGCGCAGCUGCAGAGCAGGAUGGCACUGGUGAAGAGGUUCAUCCAGGCCCGCAGGACGUACACAGAGGACCCCAAGGAGUCCAUCAAGCAGUGUGAGCUGCUCCUGGAGGAACCAGACCUGGACAGCACCAUCCGCAUCGGGGACGUCUAUGGCUUCCUGGUGGAGCACUACGUGCGGAAGGAGGAAUACCAGACGGCCUACAGAUUCCUGGAGGAGAUGCGGCGGCGGCUUCCCUUGGCCAACAUGUCCUACUACGUGAGCCCGCAGGCCGUGGACGCCGUGCACCGGGGGCUGGGUCUCCCACUGCCACGCACCGUCCCCGAGCCGGUCCGCCACAACGGCAUGGAGGACGCCAGGGAGCUGGACGAGGAGGUGGUGGAAGAGGCAGAUGACAACCCUUGAGGGGCCUGGGCCCCAGGACCAGCGUGCUGCUGCAGAAAGGCAUCUUCUGGAAUUUUUUCGUCAGCUGCGGCAAAGCCAGCAUUUUUGCUGGGAAAAGACAUGUCUGUGUUGGAAUACGCAACAGAGCUGGGCGAGAACGCAGCGGCCCGGGCCGGCAGAGGCUGUGACCCGUCUGCACCUUGCUGUGUCCCGCCUGCCUCUGGGUGCCCGGCAGCUCCACUCGAUUUUUGGAUUCAUUCCUUUGAAGGGAGUCGGGUUCACCCUUCCAUCCUAUUCUCCCAGCUACACACUGUAAAGCCUGAGAAACUUCUAGAACCUCAGGAAGCUGCAGCUGGAGGGCUGGGGCACCUGCCCCCCUGCUCCCCACACAUCAUAUCCUCCCCAUACUCCUACAGGGCCCACGGCUCCUGAGCAACAGCUGGGACACCCGGGCCUUGGCGGCUGCACCCCCUGCUAGGCUCUGCCCACCGGCCACCAACACUCCUGUAAUUCCAAUAAAGUAGUUUAUUUUCUG
rnacentral:sRNA from 1 species